rnacentral:rRNA from 1 species
CGGAUAGAGCCAGCGAAGUCGCUCGUAUUCAGCCAAAAGUCUGGGGUUGCCUGUCGUCGUGUUUCUAAUCGAGCACGGCGGUUUGUCUUCUCUGGAUUGAGGUGCAUUUGCGGGCGUUUGCGCUGAGACUUGCGAGGCAGCUGCGGGACCGGCGUUUAGAGGCUUCCCAUUGGGUUGAACCUGGGCGCCGUUACAGCUGUUUGCCUUGCUCGUACUGGUCUGGCCUACGGACCCUGCUCGUGCUGUUGUCAACUGGCCAAGGCAUCGCAUGCGAUGUCUAGCCUGGGGGCUGCAGCGCGGGUUGGUGUCCCCGGAUCGCCUCUCGGUGUAGAAGCUGGUCAUCUCUCCGACCCGUCUUGAAACACGGACCAAGGAGUUUAGCGUAUGCGCGAGUCAUUGGGUGUUAAAACCCACAGGCGCAAUGAAAGUGAAGGCUCGGUCGCCGGGCUGACAUGCGAGUGCCGCGGCUUCGGCCCAGGCAUGCAGCAUGGUCCCAUUGCAAUCGUUUACGAURCAGUGGAGACAGAGCGUAUGCGCUGAG